rnacentral:rRNA from 1 species
ACUACGGGAGGCAGCAGUGGGGAAUAUUGCACAAUGGGGGAAACCCUGAUGCAGCGACGCCGCGUGAGUGAAGAAGUAUUUCGGUAUGUAAAGCUCUAUCAGCAGGGAAGAAAAUGACGGUACCUGACUAAGAAGCCCCGGCUAACUACGUGCCAGCCGCCGCGGUAAUACGUAGGGGGCAAGCGUUAUCCGGAUUUACUGGGUGUAAAGGGAACGUAGACGGCCAGACAAGUCAGAAGUGAAAGCCCAGGGCUCAACCAGGGGACUGCGUUUGAAACUGCCGGGCUGGAGGGCAGGAGAGGUAAGCGGAAUUCCUAGUGUAGCGGUGAAAUGCGUAGAUAUUAGGAGGAACACCAGUGGCGAAGGCGGCUUACUGGACUGUAACUGACGUUGAGGCUCGAAAGCGUGGGGAGCAAACAGGAUUAGAUACCCCAGUAGUC